AUGAUUGGGACAAGUUGGUUAGGUAAAAUGAUAUUCUUUUGCAUUUAUACUCUUUAAAUGACAUACUCUUCGUUACACUAGCCUAACGGCUCUUCUAAAUUAGGUUGCAUAUUGAAUACAAGAUCUUGUAGACGGGAUGGAAGUUUUGCAGAUUGUGUUCUUAUGCUUUUAUUUGGUCAGCUCUCAAUAAGAAUGACUUCAUAUUUCAGUCUUUUUUGUUGAUACUUGUUGUAAAUAUUAGAUUGUAAAUAGUAAUUAUUUCUAUUAGUAAUGAGGCCCAUUAGAUUUUCUAUUCUCUCUUAUUUAAAGCAUGUAGAUGUAACAUGUAAGAAUCACUUUUUAAUAUAUCAGUAAAAUAUUUUACAACAUGGUAUCAAGAGCUCCCGAUUUUGGGGGAUUCGCUUCCACCUAAACCCUAGCCGCCUUGUAGCGGAGUUUUUUUUACUGCAGUUUGCAGUUUGUUGUUGUUUUUGGGUGUUUGGGUCAUUGUUGUUUUGUGUUGUAGCACAUCGUGCUUCUUGUUUUUGUUCACUCAUCUUUGAAACCCUAACCCAUCCUGUUUCUUGGUUUGUUUUCUCUCGAUUGUCCUUUCAAUGGCUGAGAUUAUUAACGAUCAACCACCUCCACCUCCACCUCCACCUCCCACAAAUCCACCAGUUACUGGGUCUCUAGCAGUUACUGGUAAGAGUUUGUGUUCCCGAUCUCUUACUGUUUGUGGUAAUAUUCCUAAGAAUGCGUGGAUUCUUGACUCUGGUGCUACUAAUCAUAUGACAUUUGAUUUCACAUUAAUAUGCUCUUAUACCACACCUUCGAGUAUUCCUUAUAUCACUGUUGCUGAUGGCUCUCAUGCUUGUGUUGUUGGCACUGGAAAUAUUGACUUGCAACCUCCAUUCCAGUUGCAAUCUGUGCUUCAUGUUCCCAUACUUUCCCACAAUUUAAUUUCCAUCCAUAAGCUUACCCGUGAUCUGAAUUGUAAAGUAAUUUUUUCUAUGUCCCAUUGUGUUUUUCAGGACCUUACCACGGGGCAGACGAUUGGAAUUGCUAAGGAAAAGGAAGGGUUAUACUACUUCUCUGAUGACCAUCCAAAGGUAUUGUCCUCCUGUUUCCAGUCUCAGUCUUCCUCUUCAGCCUCACAAAUUUGGCUUCAGCACAAGCGUCUCGGUCAUCCUCCAUUUUAUAUAAUUAAGUCUAUGUUUCUGUCGUUGUUCUUACACCAUUCUGUUGAGUCUUUUAAGUGUGAUGUUUGUCAGUUG
rnacentral:lncRNA from 1 species